rnacentral:rRNA from 1 species
GAUGAACGCUGGCGGCGUGCCUAAUACAUGCCAGUCGAGCGAACAGACGAGGAGCUUGCUCCUCUGACGUUAGCGGCGGACGGGUGAGUAACACGUGGAUAACCUACCUAUAAGACUGGGAUAACUUCGGGAAACCGGAGCUAAUACCGGAUAAUAUAUUGAACCGCAUGGUUCAAUAGUGAAAGACGGUUUUGCUGUCACUUAUAGAUGGAUCCGCGCCGCAUUAGCUAGUUGGUAAGGUAACGGCUUACCAAGGCGACGAUGCGUAGCCGACCUGAGAGGGUGAACGGCCACACUGGAAAUGAGACACGGUCCAGACUCCUACGGGAGGCAGCAGUAGGGAAUCUUCCGAAAUGGGCGAAAGCCUGACGGAGCAACGGCGCGGGGUUGAUGAAGGUCUUCGGAUCGUAAAACUCUGUUAUUAGGGAAGAACAAAUGUGUAAGUAACUACGCACGGCUUGACGGUACCUAAUCAGAAAGCCACGGCUAACUACGUG